rnacentral:rRNA from 1 species
GACAUAGGUGGCAAACGUUAUCCGGAAUUAUUGGGCGUAAAGGAUGCGUAGAUGGUCUAGUAAGUUAUCAGUGGUAAAUCGGGGCCCAACCUCGUGGAAGUUGGUAAUACUGUUAGACUUGAGUAUCGGAGAGGUUAACGGAACUCCCUGUGGAGCGGUGAAAUGUGUAGAUAUAGGGAAGAACACCAAACGGCGAAGGCAGUUAACUAGUCGGCUACUGACAUUGAGGCAUGAAAGCGUGGGGAGCAAAACGG